GUAGGAUGCAUAUAGCCAGAUGGAGCUCAAGGCAGGGCCACUCUCACAGUUAGCCAACAAUGGAAAGGAAGAGGGUGGUGCCCUGGCAGCUGGAGUGACAGUGAGAUGAGAAGUCAGAGGCCUACGGAGCUGAAGCUGCUUGACCACAAGAAGUCUCCCAGCUCUUUCUGACAGCAAAGGUCUCAUCCUUCCCAAAACUGCACUGCCUCCUGGAGGGAAAGAAACUUCUAGAACCAAGAUCAGGCACGGAACCCUGGACAUAUAUCCUCAUAGACCCCAAAAUCAUGCUAGCUCCACUGGGCAGCCCUGGCACCGGUGGUUCUGUGCCAGCCACAGCUCCAAGAUGAAAGCCUGGCUCCUAACAGCACUCUGGCCGCCCUUGCCCUGCCCUGGUGUCUGUGG
rnacentral:lncRNA from 1 species